CUGAGAGUUUCUGACAGUAAUUUUGUUAAGAGAUAUUGAUUUGUUAAUUGUUUUAACUCACUUUUUGUCUUCUCCUUUUAUUUACUCUUAUCCUCAACUGUCAUAUCUGUGAAACUAUGAUUUUGAUGUGCUAGUUUCAGAUUUUUUAAUAUAUAAGAAACUAAACACACAUUAAAAUAAAUGAAAAAAAUGAUACAAUAAAAAAAAAAUUCAUCUGUGUGCCACCUACCAUUAACUUUUAUGCUCUGCCAGUGGUAAGAAUAUAGUCCUCCAUCACUGCUCAGAAAUGUUGCUUAUUAAUGAGGCAGAAAGAGAUUGGACCGUAUCCAACACCUCUGAGUGUUGGAUAGAGGCAGGACUCUGACCCGGACUUGAGGAUUCCACUCCAGACCUUGCCCUCCACACCACCGGCCUCCCUCCUGCACCUCAUCCAUGUUGCCUAGAAGUCCGGGGAUGCAACAGGGAGCUCCAGAAAGCUUGAAGGGAGUAAAAGGUAGCCCGCGGCACACUCGGUCACCAGGGCUCUGUCCUGAAGUGAGGCCACUUCAGCUAUUCCCACUCAUCCACGGUGCUAGAAGACUGAAGAUGGGAGCUGUCCCCAAGCCUGCUGACUGACUCCAUAGCCAAGUAACGUCCAAAGAAGGAGGGUGAGCAUCUGUACCUCACGGUUCUAAAUCCUGUCUCCCGUCUCAUUGCCCUAACCUGUACCAGUGCCCCGUGGACACGAAUGCUGGGCUCGUCCCAACACUGCAGGAUCUCCACACAGAAUCCAAAGUAAAUACUCAGAGCAUAAAGAAAACACAUUACAGCCUAAUC
rnacentral:lncRNA from 1 species